CCAGCAGCGGUGGCCCGGAGUGUCCUCUCUGCCAGGUAAAGGGAGCCAGACGUCUCCACAACACGAGGGAUGGGAGAGAGGCUCGCUGUGUGACGCCAUGGGCUCAGUUCUGGAAGCUGGAAAAUUCAAGAUUAAGGUGACAACAGAUUCCGUGUUUGGCGAGAUUCCGUGUUUCUACUUCCUGGUUCACAGAAAACCAUCUUCUCAUUGUGUCUUCACUUGGUGGAAGGAAUGAGGGAGUGCCCUUGGCCUCUCUUUCACAAGGGAGCACACCCCACUCAUGACGGAAUCACCUCCCAAAGGUCCCCACCUCCAAAUACCAUCACACUGAAGAUGAGCUUUUAAUAUAUGAAUUUGGCAGCAUUGGUUGGGGUGAGGGGAAAACACAUCAGCGUAUGGCACGAAGAUAAUAAUAGUACACAUAUCAUGAUAUUGUUACAAGAGUUAAAGCAGUUAUUACACUUAAAAUCCUUAGGUCAGUGCCUGGUGAAGAAGAUGCACUCAAUAAAUGUCAGCUUGCUGCAAAGUGGUGGCUGAUUCAGUCACACACUCAUUGGCUCUUACUCCUCUUCUGCCUAACUUCCCUCUUCCCUCACACUUGCUUCCCUGGGACUGUAGUCCCUAAUAAAACCCUGAAAGAUA